UACAUCGCAAAGAGAAAGACGGGAAUUAAGAAAAGCCCUCAGAGAGAUCCGGUUUGGUGUGAAGGAUUGGGUACUAUUAAUUUCGAAUCACUUUCUCGCUUCGCAUUCGAAUUUAGUAAAAUGCGACGUCCACGUCACGUUACAGACGAAUGAGUGAUCGGGCUUGCCCGAUAAUUAGGGUGGUACCGCGUCAUCAUCGUCCCUUGG
rnacentral:ncRNA from 1 species